ensembl:lncRNA LINC02488 long intergenic non-protein coding RNA 2488
AGUUCAGUUUUAUUGGUUGCACGCACAGUCAGUUAUUUCAUCCAGAAAAUCUGAAGGCCCUACAAACUAACCAGGCAGAAGCUGUAUGCUAUGGAUUUUUCUGAUCAUUUCAUGCUGAGCUCAGGGGAGGGACUCUAAACUUGGAUGGGAACAAUGAUGAUGACUUUGGAAACUGCAUCUUGAACAAGGCAAACGUCCUUCAGCUGGUCCCUGGUCCCCUGAGGUCUCCUUCACCUGAAUCCUGCUUCUCUGCCUUUUCAUGAAAGAAUAUUAUAUGAGCAAGAAAUAAACUUCUAUUGAAUUAGCUUCUAAUUUGAGGCCCAUAGAUCUCCAAGGGGUCUGUAGAUUGAAUUCAAGGGGUCUGUGAACUUGGAAUGGGAAAAAUAUGAUUUUUACUAAUGUCUUUCUUACCUCAAUUUAGCAUUUUCUUUUGUUAUGAGUAUAAACAACAAACCAGUCGCAUUAGCAGUACCUAUGAAAAGUAUUUUUGUAUCACAUUACAAUUGUAACAAAUAUCUGAAAUUUAAUUCAUACUCAUCAAGAUUUUAAAAAUAUAGUAGUAAUGAACCUGCUGGUAUAUUUUAUUUGAUGUUUUAAUAAAUAAGCAUCUUUAUUAUUAUAUCAUAAAUUAUUUUAAUACUUUAGCACUGCAUUUCAAUGUAAUUAGUUUCUUUUGAAACUUUAAAAAUUUUCUUUCAUGUAUUUAAAAACACUAUUUUGAUGAUGUGUACACAUGGGCAUAGAGAGUAAAAUAAUAAAGGUUGGAGACUCAGAAAAGUGGGAGAGUGGCAGGGGGAUGAUGGAUGAGAAAUUACCAGGUACAAUGUAUAUUAUUUGGGUUAUAUUACACUAAAAACCCAGGCUUUACCACCACACAAUAUAUCCAUGUAACAAAACUGCACUUGUACCCCUUAAAUCUAUAAAAAUAAAAAAUAUAUAAAAUACAAAGAAAUAAAAAAUUAUUUUGAGAAGGGAUUCUAAGCUUCACCAGACUGCUAACAUGGCCCUGGUAUAAAAAGUUUACAAAUGCUUGUUUCUAUUAUAUUUGAGCCAUUUUACAAUUUGGGAUAUUUUUGUUAUAUCUUUUAACAUCACCCUAAUUUAUAGAAGUAAUGAAUGUUAUUGCUGGGGAUUUGAGUGUUGGUCAUUACAUAUACAUGAAUUUAUACACAAAUCCUGCGAGGAUAUAAUAUUUAUUGCAAAUGUUUUUACCAGUCAUUCUUUGUCGUAAUUUGUAUAAGACAAAUUAAGUUUGAUGUAUAAUAUUCAACUGUGUUGAUAUGGUCAAAUCUAUGAAUCUCACUUAUGUGAUUUUCAUAUUGCUUUCCCACUUAAAAAAUUCUUUCCCAACCAAAAAUCAGUUGCAAGGUGUUAAAACCAUUCACCUAGGUGUCAUUGUGCAGCUGCACACGACUUGGGCAACCAUAUCUAGCAUUCCCAAUUUGUUAAAUACUUACCUAUACAUUUUAUUUGCAUUUAAUUAUUUCAUCUACUUGGAAUAUAUUUCAAUCCCUGUUGUGAGAUGAAUAAAAAUGAUGGAUAUUCUUUCUAACACCA